rnacentral:rRNA from 1 species
GUGUCAGCCGCCGCGGUAAUACGUAGGGUGCGAGCGUUGUCCGGAAUUACUGGGCGUAAAGAGCUCGUAGGCGGUUUGUCGCGUCGUCUGUGAAAUUCUGCAGCUUAACUGCAGGCGUGCAGGCGAUACGGGCAGACUUGAGUACUACAGGGGAGACUGGAAUUCCUGGUGUAGCGGUGAAAUGCGCAGAUAUCAGGAGGAACACGGGUGGCGAAGGCGGGUCUCUGGGUAGUAACUGACGCUGAGGAGCGAAAGCGUG